rnacentral:rRNA from 1 species
AUACGUAGGUGACAAGCGUUAUCCGGAUUUACUGGGCGUAAAGGGCGUGUAGGCGGUCUUGCAAGUCAGAAGUGAAAUUCCUGAGCUCAACUCGGGCGCUGCUUCUGAAACUGCAGGACUUGAGUGCUGGAGGGGAUAGCGGAAUUCCUAGUGGAGCGGUAAAAUGCGCAGAUAUUAGGAAGAACACCGGUGGCGAAGGCGGCUAUCUGGACAGUAACUGACGCUGAGGCGCGAAAGCGUGGGGAGCAAACAGGAUUAGAUACCCUGGUAGUCCACGCGGUAAACGAUGAAUGCUAGGUGUUGCGGGUAUCGACCCCUGCAGUGCCGGAGUCAACACAAUAAGCAUUCCGCCUGGGGAGUACGGCCGCAAGAUUGAAACUCAAAGGAAUUGACGGGG